CCUACGGGAGGCAGCAGUGAGGAAUAUUGCUCAAUGGGCGAGAGCCUGAACCAGCCAAGCCGCGUGAAGGAAGAAGGAUCUCUGUUUUGUAAACUCUUUCAAUAUGGGAAUAAAGUGCGGUACGUGUUCCUUUUUGUAUGUACCAUAUCAUUAAGCAUCGGAUAAAUCCGUGCCAGCAGCCGCGGUAAUACGGAGGAUGCGAGCGUUAUCCGGAUGUAUUGGGUUUAAAGGGUGCGUAGGUGGUUAAUUAAGUCAACGGUGAAAGUUUGUGGCUCAACCAUAAAAUUGCCGUUGAGACUGGUUGACUUGAGUAUAUUUGAGGUAGGCGGAAUGCGUGGUGUAGCGGUGAAAUGCAUAGAUAUCACGCAGAACACCGAUUGCGAAGGCAGCUUACUAAACUAUAACUGACGCUGAAGCACGAAAGCGUGGGGAGCAAACAGGAUUAGAUACCCCUGUAGUC
rnacentral:rRNA from 1 species